CAUGGUGACGGGGAUGGAGUUCCCCGAUAACCGCCGUUCCGGGCUGAUGACUCCUACCAACAC
rnacentral:ncRNA from 2 species